rnacentral:rRNA from 1 species
CCUACGGGGGGCAGCAGUGAGGAAUAUUGGUCAAUGGACGCAAGCCUGAACCAGCCAUGCCGCGUGCAGGAAGACGGCUCUAUGAGUUGUAAACUGCUUUUGUACGAGGGUAAAUCCCGAUACGUGUAUCGGGUUGAAAGUAUCGUACGAAUAAGGAUCGGCUAACUCCGUGCCAGCAGCCGCGGUAAUACGGAGGAUUCAAGCGUUAUCCGGAUUUAUUGGGGUUAAAGGGAGCGUAGGCGGUUCGAUAAGGUAGAGGUGAAAUCCCGGGGCUCAACGCCGGCACUGCCUCUGAUACUGUCGUGCUUGAGUGUGUGUGCGGUAGGCGGAAUGUGUGGUGUAGCGGUGAAAUGCAUAGAUAUCAUGCAGAACACCGAUUGCGAAGGCAGCUUACCGAACCACAACUGACGUUGAGGCACGAAAGCGUGGGUAGCGAACAGGAUUAGAUACCCGUGUAGUC